rnacentral:rRNA from 1 species
UACGUAGGUGGCAAGCGUUGUCCGGAUUUAUUGGGUUUAAAGGGUGCGUAGGCGGCUUUGUAAGUCAGUGGUGAAAUAUGGCAGCUCAACUGUCAAGGUGCCAUUGAUACUGCGGAGCUUGAGUACAGAUGAGGUAGGCGGAAUUGACGGUGUAGCGGUGAAAUGCUUAGAUAUCGUCAAGAACCCCCAUAGCGAAGGCAGCUUACUAGGCUGUAACUGACGCUGAGGCACGAAAGUGUGGGGAUCAAACAGG